rnacentral:rRNA from 1 species
UCGGCGGCCUAACACAUGCAAGUCGAGCGGUAGCACAGAGAGCUUGCUCUCGGGUGACGAGCGGCGGACGGGUGAGUAAUGUCUGGGAAACUGCCUGAUGGAGGGGGAUAACUACUGGAAACGGUAGCUAAUACCGCAUAACGUCGCAAGACCAAAGUGGGGGACCUUCGGGCCUCAUGCCAUCAGAUGUGCCCAGAUGGGAUUAGCUAGUAGGUGGGGUAACGGCUCACCUAGGCGACGAUCCCUAGCUGGUCUGAGAGGAUGACCAGCCACACUGGAACUGAGACACGGUCCAGACUCCUACGGGAGGCAGCAGUGGGGAAUAUUGCACAAUGGGCGCAAGCCUGAUGCAGCCAUGCCGCGUGUGUGAAGAAGGCCUUCGGGUUGUAAAGCACUUUCAGCGGGGAGGAAGGCGUUGAGGUUAAUAACCUUGGCGAUUGACGUUACCCGCAGAAGAAGCACCGGCUAACUCCGUGCCAGCAGCCGCGGUAAUACGGAGGGUGCAAGCGUUAAUCGGAAUUACUGGGCGUAAAGCGCACGCAGGCGGUCUGUCAAGUCGGAUGUGAAAUCCCCGGGCUCAACCUGGGAACUGCAUUCGAAACUGGCAGGCUAGAGUCUUGUAGAGGGGGGUAGAAUUCCAGGUGUAGCGGUGAAAUGCGUAGAGAUCUGGAGGAAUACCGGUGGCGAAGGCGGCCCCCUGGACAAAGACUGACGCUCAGGUGCGAAAGCGUGGGGAGCAAACAGGAUUAGAUACCCUGGUAGUCCACGCCGUAAACGAUGUCGAUUUGGAGGUUGUGCCCUUGAGGCGUGGCUUCCGGAGCUAACGCGUUAAAUCGACCGCCUGGGGAGUACGGCCGCAAGGUUAAAACUCAAAUGAAUUGACGGGGGCCCGCACAAGCGGUGGAGCAUGUGGUUUAAUUCGAUGCAACGCGAAGAACCUUACCUGGUCUUGACAUCCACAGAACUUAGCAGAGAUGCUUUGGUGCCUUCGGGAACUGUGAGACAGGUGCUGCAUGGCCUGUCGUCAGCUCGUCGCUUGUUGAAAUGUUGGGUUAGUCCCGACAGCCAGCGCACCAUCAUCCCUUGUGGCCAGUCCGUCUAGCCGGGACUCGAAGUAGUACUGCAAGUGCAUCACUGAGUAAGCUGGGGAAUGGACGUUCCAGGUCAUCAGUGGUCCUUGUACCAGA